rnacentral:rRNA from 1 species
GAUGAACGCUGGCGGCGUGCCUAAUACAUGCAAGUCGAGCGAACAGACGAGGAGCUUGCUCCUCUGACGUUAGCGGCGGACGGGUGAGUAACACGUGGAUAACCUACCUAUAAGACUGGGAUAACUUCGGGAAACCGGAGCUAAUACCGGAUAAUAUAUUGAACCGCAUGGUUCAAUAGUGAAAGACGGUUUUGCUGUCACUUAUAGAUGGAUCCGCGCCGCAUUAGCUAGUUGGUAAGGUAACAGCUUACCAAGGCAACGAUGCGUAGCCGACCUGAGAGGGUGAUCGGCCACACUGGAACUGAGACACGGUCCAGACUCCUACGGGAGGCAGCAGUAGGGAAUCUUCCGCAAUGGGCGAAAGCCUGACGGAGCAACGCCGCGUGAGUGAUGAAGGUCUUCGGAUCGUAAAACUCUGUUAUUAGGGAAGAACAAAUGUGUAAGUAACUAUGCACGUCUUGACGGUACCUAAUCAGAAAGCCACGACUAACUACGUG